rnacentral:misc_RNA from 1 species
GAUGAAGAACGCAGUGAAAUGCGAUAAGUAAUGUGAAUUGCAGAAUUCAGUGAAUCAUCGAAUCUUUGAACGCACAUUGCGCCCGCCAGCAUUCUGGCGGGCAUGCCUGUUCGAGCGUCAUUUCAACCCUCGACCUCCCUUUGGGGAAGUCGGCGUUGGGGACCGGCAGCACACCGCCGGCCCUGAAAUGGAGUGGCGGCCCGUCCGCGGCGACCUCUGCGUAGUAAACCAACUCGCACCGGAACCCCGACGUGGCCACGCCGUAAAACACCCAACUUCUGAACGUUGACCUCGAAUCAGGUAGGACUACCCGCUGAACUUAAGCAUAUCAAUAAGCGGAGGA